rnacentral:rRNA from 1 species
GGUUUGAUUCUGAAAGCUCAGAUUGAACGCUGGCGGGGAUGCUUUACACAUGCAAGUCGAACAGCAGCACGGACUUCGGUCUGGUGGCGAGUGGCGAACGGGUGAGUAAUGUAUCGGAACGUGCCUAGUAGCGGGGGAUAACUACGCGAAAGCGUAGCUAAUACCGCACACGCCCUUCGGGGAAAAGCGGGGACCUUCGGGCCUCGCCACUAUUAGAGCGGCCGAUAUCGGAUUGGCUAGUUUGGUGGGGUAACGGCUCACACCAAGGCGACGAUCCGUAGCUGGUUUGAGAGGACGACCAGCCACGCUGGGACUGAGACACGGCCCAGACUCCUACAGGAGGCAGCAGUGAGGCCACGGACAGCUGGAAACCUGAUCAAUAUGCAUCGCGUGUGCGGCAGAAGGCCUUCGGGUUGUAAAAGCACUUUGGCAGGAAAGAAACGGCGCAGGAUAAUACCCCGUGCAACUGACAGUACCUGCAGAAUAGCACCGGCUAACUACGUGCCAGCAGCCGCGGUAAUACACGUAGGGUGCAAGCGUUAAUCGGAAUUACUGGGCGUAAAAGCAUUGCGCAGGCAGUUCGAAGAAGAUGCUUAAGAAAUCGAGCUUAACUUUGGAACUUGUUUUUAACUACGGCUAAGUGUCAGAGGGAGGUGGAAUUCCGCGUCCUUAACUGAUGAAAUGCGUAGAUAUGCGGAGGAACACCGAUAGCGAAAAACGGGGCCUCCUGGGGGGUUCACUGGCCUUUCUCAUGCACGAAAGCGUGGGAGCAAACAGGAUUAGAUACCCUGGUAGUUCGCCCUAAACGAUGUCAACUAGCUGUUGGAGCCUUCCCGGGCCUUGUUGGUAGCGCAGCUAACGCGUGCAGGAAUUGACCGCCUGGGAGUACAGUCAUAAGUUAAAACUCAAAGGAAUUGACGGGGACCAUGCAAGCGGUGGAUGAUGUGGAUUAAUUCGAUGCAACGCAAAAACCUUACCUACCCUUGACAUGUCUGGAAUCCCGAAGAGAUUUGGGAGUGCUCGCAAGAGAACCGGAACACAGGUGCUGCAUGGCUGUCGUCAGCUCAUUGUCGUGGGAUGUUGGGUUAAGUCCACUAUGACGCAACCCUUGUCAUUAGUUGCUGCGAAAGGGCACUCUAUUAAGUUGCCGGUGACAAACCGGAGGAAGGUGGGGAUGACGUCAAGUCCUCAUGGCCAUAUGGGUAGGGCUUCACACGUCAUACAAUGGUCAGGACAGAGGGAGUCGCCAACCCGCGAGGGAGCCAAUCCCAGAAACCCGAUCAUAGUCGGAUCGCAGUCUGCAACUCGACUGCGUGAAGUCGGAAUCGCUAGUAAUCGCGGAUCAGCAUGUCGCGGUGAAUACGUUCCCGGGUCUUGUACACACCGCCCGUCACACCAUGGGAGUGGAGGUUUUACCGAAGUAGUUAGCCCUAACCAUGGAGAGGGCGAUUACCACGGUAGGAUUCAUGACUGGGGUGAAGUCGUAACAAGGUAG